rnacentral:misc_RNA from 1 species
GAUGAAGAACGUAGCGAAAUGCGAUACGUAGUGUGAAUUGCAGAAUUCAGUGAAUCAUCGAAUCUUUGAACGCACAUUGCCCUCUCGGUAUUCCGGGAGGUAUGCCUGUUCGAGCGUCAUUUGUACCCUCAAGCUCUGCUUGGUGUUGGGUGUUUGUUCCGCCUCUGUGUGUGAACUCGCCUCAAAACAAUUGGCAGCCGGCGUACUUGUUUCGGAGCGCAGCACAUUUUGCGAUCCAGAUCAACGUACAGCGGCAUCCAAGAAGCCUUAUUUAACGCUCUUGACCUCGGAUCAGGUAGGGAUACCCGCUGAACUUAAGCAUAUCAAUAAGCGGAGGA